rnacentral:rRNA from 1 species
UGACCUCGGAUCAGGUAGGGAUACCCGCUGAACUUAAGCAUAUCAAUAAGCGGAGGAAAAGAAACCAACAGGGAUUGCCUCAGUAACGGCGAGUGAAGCGGCAACAGCUCAAAUUUGAAAUCUGGCUCUUUUAGGGUCCGAGUUGUAAUUUGUAGAAGAUGCUUUGGGUGUGGCUCCGGUCUAAGUUCCUUGGAACAGGACGUCAUAGAGGGUGAGAAUCCCGUAUGUGACUGGCUGCCUCCGCCCGUGUAAAGCUCUUUCGACGAGUCGAGUUGUUUGGGAAUGCAGCUCAAAAUGGGUGGUAAAUUUCAUCUAAAGCUAAAUAUUGGCCAGAGACCGAUAGCGCACAAGUAGAGUGAUCGAAAGAUGAAAAGCACUUUGGAAAGAGAGUUAAACAGUACGUGAAAUUGUUGAAAGGGAAGCGCUUGCAAUCAGACUUGCGCGCGGCCGAUCAUCCGAGGUUCUCCCCGGUGCACUCGACCGCGCUCAGGCCAGCAUCGGUUUCGGUGGUGGGAUAAAGGCCUUGGGAAUGUAGCUCCUCUCGGGGAGUGGUAUAGCCCUCGGUGCAAUGCCGCCUAUCGGGACCGAGGACC